GGGAAGGUAGCUCAGUGGUAGAGCGCUUGCCUUGCAUGCAUGAGACCCUGGGUUCAAUUCCUCAGCACCA
rnacentral:tRNA from 1 species